rnacentral:sRNA from 1 species
UAGUAAUAGCCUGCGAAAUUCCUACCUC